UACGGGGGGUGCGAGCGUUGUCCGGAAUCAUUGGGCGUAAAGAGCGUGUAGGCGGCUCGGUAAGUCCGCUGUGAAAGUCCAGGGCUCAACCCUGGAAUGCCGGUGGAAACUGUCGAGCUAGAGUCCGGAAGAGGCGAGUGGAAUUCCUGGUGUAGCGGUGAAAUGCGCAGAUAUCAGGAGGAACACCAAUGGCGAAGGCAGCUCGCUGGGACGGUACUGACGCUGAGACGCGAAAGCGUGGGGAGCAAACAGG
rnacentral:rRNA from 1 species